CAAGCUUGCACGCCAACACUCAGCUGGUUUCCACCUUCCUCGCACGAACUCUCCUCACCGAAAGCUUCUGCCUUCAUUUUUCUUUCCCUCAGCAUCUCCUCAUCUCUCUGUUCAAUUCUCUUGCGCCAGCCCUAAAGCCACACGUCUCUACCAUCUCCUCCACCGAAAUCCCCAAGUCAACAGGUGAAGCUUUGUUGAUCUUGAAGACCGAGCAGCUCCAUCGACCUCUUCGCCCACGCAUCCCACCGAAGACCAUUUGCUUCCUCGUGUCUUCAAUUUGCCGGUCAACCAUCCAGCAACGAAGACUCCAAGCUGCCAGGAGUUCUCCUCCACACGUCCGAGACACCAUCAACGAAGCUGCUUCGCUUCCUCUUUCUCUGCUUCGUUUCCCAGCGACCAGCAUCUCCUUCAUUCGCUGCUCCCUCGUCCAGCAUCGACGAUCGAGCAGCAGUUCGGCCAGAAGCCUGCAGCACUUUGGCCUAUCUCCAUUUCUUCAGCCGUUCAAGCCCAGUCCAGUCGAAUUUUCCCAAGCUAAGUAGCCCAGCAGUCAAGCCUUUUAAGGCCCGCAGCUUCUCGGCCCAGCCCAUCUCAGCACAAGAAGGCAGUCCAUCUUCAGUCAAGCCCAGCAAGUGUCGCAAGCCCAACUCACAUUUGUUCAGCCCAACUUCAGUUUUGGGUCAGGCCCAUUUAAAGCCCAAGUUUCAGCCCAUCUUCAAAGUUCAGCCCACAGGUUCAGCAAGCCCAGUUCCGAGCCCAAGCCGCGAAGCAAGCCUAAUCCAACGCAAUAACAAAUCUUAGUUUGAGCUGAGAUUUGUUGGACCGAUUCCAGGCCUGGUCCAAGCCCGUGGGUGUCGUCACAAGCCCAAGUUCGGCCGUCGUCGCACCGCCGUCUCGGUGAUCUAGUCUCCGCUUUUAAUCAAGACCCUGAUGAGGAGCCUGAGGAGGAGGAAUUUGAGGAGGAGAACCUUGAUGUGAAACUUAAGGAGGAGGAAGAUUUUGAAGAGAAGAUGAUCCAUAGAAGGAUCUUGAGUAUGACCCGGAUGAGGACUGAGAUCCCAUCCCGUUUUGUGUGAACCUUGUGUUCUUGUAAAUAGGUGUGAGAUCAACCAUUUGUGAAUAGUAUGGUAAAAUACUAUGGGUUGUGCUAUGUAUAAAAGUAAGGUUGUGAAUUUUAUUAUGAAAAA